rnacentral:rRNA from 1 species
AAGAUUAAGCCAUGCAUGUCUAAGUAUAAACAAAUCUAUACUGUGAAACUGCGAAUGGCUCAUUAAAUCAGUUAUCGUUUAUUUGAUAGUACGUUACUACUUGGAUAACCGUGGUAAUUCUAGAGCUAAUACAUGCAUCAAGUCUCGGGCUACGCCUGGGAUGUAUUUAUUAGAUAAAAACCAAUGCCUUCUGGCUCCUUGGUGAUUCAUAAUAACUUGUCGAAUCGCAU